rfam:Parcubacteria group bacterium RIFCSPLOWO2_02_FTLL_40_12 rifcsplowo2_02_scaffold_156, whole genome shotgun sequence.
GUCGGGGUGGUGAAAUUUGGCAACCACGCUAGGCCUAGAACCUAGUGCCGAAAGGCUUGAGGGUUCGAAUCCCUCCCCCGACA